rnacentral:lncRNA from 1 species
GCUGUGCAGGUGUGGGGGAUUAAUGCUAAUGGCCUCCACUUGGCCUCACAGGAACUGAAGGACAGCAUAAAGAGUUGUGAGGUGCAGUUGUGGGGUUUGUUGGGGAGGCGUCUGUGGUCCUGGUUCCCCUAUUUUUGCUCUGGCAUAGCUGAUACUGAGGCAAGGCCCAGCAUACCAAGCUGCCUGUCCUGUGGAGCCCGCAGGCACUUCCUAUCUCUGAAACCUCUCCCAAGUCUGUCAGCCUUGGCUGAAGUCAACCAGUGGUUAUUAGAACAGAGGACAGGCAACAAUCUGAAUACGUUGGCCCACUGUUCCACUCCUGCCCUUGCAACUCCCGAAGCUUUGAAUGCUUUCCUCAGAAUGGAUGCUCCUUUUUGUUGUCAUCUUACAGGACGAUCUUGCUGUUUUCCACCUCCCUCAGUUCUACACACGUUGAGGUCUGAGCUCUCAAGCUCUUUUCCUCCAUGUGCGUGUUUGCCUAAAGUAGAAGGGUAUCAUGGGGAGAAACAUCCCACUUCUGAUAUGUUUCACCAAGACCAAAUGUUCUUACAACCUGAGGUUGUCUGCGUUGUUGGUUCCAUCAGGCGCCUUCCAUGGAUAAAUUAUCUGGAGAGAUGAGAGUAGAAGCAAUGGGUUGGCAGCUCUUUGUUCACUCCCACAAGUACCUGAUGUGGGAGCUCUGUUGGGUCACCACAGCCAACCUGGGCAUGGCGGUGCUGUUGGAAGCUCCCGUUACACUAAUAAAAAUGUGUCCACUUCAAGGCGGUUGUAUGGC